GCCCAGAUGGUGAAACUGGUAAACACGCUGUCUUCAGGAGGCAGUGCCGCAAGGCUUAGGAGUUCGAGUCUCCUUCUGGGCA
rnacentral:tRNA from 1 species